CAAUGCACUAACGUGCGAUGGGGGGACUCCGAGUGCGUCUUUCCCAACAAGGAAGGACGCUUUUCUGCACUGUAAGGAGGUGCAGGAACAAGGGGUGGGCAAGACGGCUGCCAGCCGCCGCGGUAAUAGCCGCACCCCAAGUGGUAUCCAGUAUUAUUGGGCUUAAAGUGUUCGUAGCCGGCUGUGUAAGUCUGCUGUGAAAUCCACGCGCUCAACGUGUGGACAUGCAGCAGAUACUGCACAGCUAGGGGCCGGACGGCGUUGAGGCUAUUCUAGGGGCAGGAGUGAAAUCCUAAAAUCCCUGGAGGAGCGCCAGUGGCGAAAGCGCUCAACGAGAACGGACCCGACGGUGAGGAACGAAAGCUAGG
rnacentral:rRNA from 1 species